UACGAAGGGGGCUAGCGUUGUUCGGAAUUACUGGGCGUAAAGGGCGCGUAGGCGGUCCUGAUCGUCGGAUGUGAAAGGCCUGGGCUCAACCUGGGAAUGGCAUCCGAUACGGCGGGGACUGGAGUGUGGGGAGAGGUUUGGUGGAAAUUCCCCAGUGUAGAGGUGAAAUUCGUAGAUAUUGGGGAAGAACACCCAGUGGCGGAAGGCGGCUCACUGGCCCGAUACUGACGCUGAGGUGCGAAAGCGUGGGGAGCAAACAGGG
rnacentral:rRNA from 1 species